rnacentral:rRNA from 1 species
UUCUGCUGUGCCACCCUGGGAUGUGAUCUCUUCAGAUUUUAUAAUUGAAGCAGGGUUGAGCCUGGUUAGUAGUUGGAUGGGAGACCGGCAAGGAAAACCCAGAGUGGUGUAGAAA